rnacentral:lncRNA from 1 species
AAAAAAAAAACAGACUUUAUUCUUCAAAUAAAAUGUUAACACAUUUUGACCAAUAGAAUAAAAACCACCAAGAGAUAAAUAAUGCAACAAAUCUUGUAAAAGCAAUUAAGAUUAAAAUGCUCUUGUGCUAAUAGAAAAUUUUCAUUAUGUAAAUUUUUCUCACUUACUUAUGCAAUAUGUAGCUACAAAUUUAAGUUAUUCAUGAAGCAAAGGGGAUGCUUAAAAGGAAUGGUACUCCUUUGGUACAUAUGUAUGUGUAUGUACACUGAACUCUGGUGUUUGGAAAUAAAUACAAAUCAUGUAUAAAAUUAAAAAGUAAUUCCAUUAAUUUUGUUAGACAUAUUAAUCAAACUUAUUCAAAGUAUCUAGUGAAAGAGUAAGUAUAGCUAAAAAUUAAUUGAUCUGGUGUAUAGUAUAAAUUUUAUUUAUUUUUUUGCUAACAUGAAGUAGUGCAUACAAAUAUUUUCAAAGAUGAAGUAAGUUCAAGACUGUAAUUGGAAUAUUUUAUAUGCCUGGAUUAAAAUGUUUUAAAUACCUUUUUGUGUAAUACACACCAAAUCUCAAAGAAGUCAGGUAAAAAAUGACCACAGGUUUUGUCUGGUGAAAUUUGAAAACUGUGGUUGUCUCCAAAAGCACUACAAUAGUGGCCUGCGCUGUUUCAGUUGUUUGGUGGUGCUUUUCUAACCAGCAAACUAAUACUAAGGAUUAUUCUUGAGAGUAGCUGAAAACAAUUGCUUUUGCUUAAAUACUCGAUCAAAAAAAGCACCAUUUAGAUGGUUAAUCUCUCUUACUGAUGCUCUGAUUUUCCUUUUUUCCCAUGAAAAUAUCUUUCCAUUUAUUUCUUUUUAAUUUUUCCCUAUGUAACUAACUGUAGUACAAAAUUAAUUCAAAAUGAAUCAUACACCUGAACAUAAUGGUUAAAAUUACAAAAAGUCUAGGGAUGCCCAGGUGGCUCAGUCAGUUAAGCAUCUGCCUUUGGCUCAGGUCUUGAUCUCAGGGUCCUGGGAUUGAGCCCUGCCUCGGGCUCCCUGCUCAGUGGGCAAGUCUGCUUCUACCUCUGCCCCUCUCUCCCCUCACUUGUGCUCUCUCUCUCUCAGAUAAAUAAAAUCUUCAAAAAUUAUGAAAAUUCUAGGAGAAAACAGAAAAAUUCUUAAAGACCCUAUAUUUAGCAAAGAUUUC